GCACCCCUCUUGUGCAAAGGAACCGAGCCACUGACUUCACUGGCCAGAACCGAACUUUAAAAGCGUAGCAAGCACUGACUUUCCUUUUUGGCCAAGACACCUCGAAAGUCAAGUAAGCAGGCCCCUGCAGUGUGGCAAAGCUGCCAACUGCUGGACUCCUGGAAGGGGUGUAACGAAAUCUCUGAUGGAGAAAAACAGGAACUUCUUGAGAGGAGGAACAGGGUAUAAAACACAGGCAGCGACCUCCUUACAUUGCUGAAACUCUAACAGAAGAACAGGUGACUUCCUGAGAUCUCCAGACGGCACCAAGAGAGACGCAUUAGGAGCAACCUGCAUCUGAAGCUUCUAAAAAGACAACCAAAUCCUUAUUUCCUGAGUCUCCAUUUUCAUUUACCAAGCAGAGGUAGUUCUUCAGACGAAAAUCCGGUCCACACAGAGGCACACAGCCUCCAGAAGUUAGUGUUGGCAUUAGAGAAAAUGUGACUGUCCUUUCCUUGGGUAAGUAAACGAUUUCCUCAAAUAAUUUCAGCAGGAGGGUAUGAUUUUCUGAGCACGGAGGCAUAGUUGUAUUUGAAAAAUCAUUCUCAAAGUGGUUCUCCCUUGGGGGUUAUCUGUUUGUAAGUAAAUCAGCUUUUAGUUCAUUCAGUCUCUUGUUCUUAUUUAAAGGAAGGCCACUCACUUCUGCAGACACCCUCAACACGAGUCACUUUGUGCUCGUAACAUCCUUGGAGGGUGGGGAGCUCAGAGCUGGCAGAGCCCCAACCUGACUUGCUGGCUUCUUAGCAGCAGGACAAGCUUUGUGUGAGUUUAAGAUGUACCCAGGGCUGAGAAUCCUGCAGUUCUCUCAGAGAGAGCCACGCUUCUGAAUUUGUUUAGAUUUACUGUCAUAUACUGAAAGAAAUGACAAAAGGAGACAUCUACUCGACCCCUCCAGCAAACGGUUUUCAUUUCUGAAUUCCCUUCAGCGUGCUUCCAACCAUAUCUAAUUUUUGCAAAUCACAGGAUUUAUAUAACUUUGUUUUCUGCUUUUUUCCCAGUCAUUCAUAAAACUGUCCCACAUUGUUUACGCUUUGUUUAAAAUGAAAUGACUGAGCACAGAACCAUCAUUUCCGUAACCACAUCGCUGGAUAAGGAGGAGAUUUCCAGAGUUGGUGAGACUGCAGUGAACACCUUCAUAGAGAGGACCACCUGCCUUUGGAUGUGUUCACUAGGGAGUUCCCAGCGGUCCAGCACAGCCAAGGGACAAUGAUCACGAUGUGCCAUGGAGGGACUGAAGACCACAAGGCACACUGUGCCUCAGAUGAGAGGAAUCCAUCCAAAGGCUUCACCCAGCCUCUUUUCCCUGCUCCUGCUGUCUUAUUUACUCAGCUUUGCACAGCUACCUGCUCCAGGGGCCACCAGCUUCUCACCCAACCUGCAUCAUUUCCUUUUCUUCCAACUCUCGGUUUGACCCUGGAGAGCCAAGAAAGCUCUCCCUGCUCCCCUCCUAAGGGCUGGCUUGUACCAACCUCAGGGCUCUCCUGCUGGGGUUUAGCCUUAUUAGGUCCCUGCCACAUCUCUGGGGUGGGGCUGUGUGGCCUUUUACAUUCAUUACUCAUCACAACUUCCUCCAGGACUAGCACACGGAGGCCUAGGCCUAGACAUGAACUAAGGCAUUUCCUGAGAUCUUCAAAAUAUGUUAGAAGUACAUUUCUGUAAUGAGCAUCUUAAUGGACGUUUGUUGGCCCAUAUUUGUUUACUGAUGCCAGACUAUCAUCUUGCUUUUGUGGAGGAAAACCCCCUAAUUUCACAUUCUUAAAUCAUGAAAGACUGAAUGCAGUUGCUCUCUGAUCUCAAAAGGAAGAGGAAAUUUGCCUCAUUUAAGUAAGUAGUGAGCACAUGUGUGUUCUGUGCGUGUCCUCCUUAACCUGGGCAGACGGCAUCCGAUGCCACUGCUGGCACAGCUUUCCCUACUCACACACAAGUGGACAAGGACUUCCCUGAGAGCUGUGAGCCCACAGGAGUCCCUGGCCCCAAAGUAGCGCCCCCCCCCCCAAAUCUCCUCCCAGCCCCACAACCAUCAAGCCUCAUCCUAUUGCAAAUUUCUAUUGAAA